rnacentral:rRNA from 1 species
GACGAACGCUGGCGGCGUGCUUAACACAUGCAAGUCGAACGGAAAGGCCCUGCUUUUGUGGGGUGCUCGAGUGGCGAACGGGUGAGUAACACGUGAGUAACCUGCCCUUGACUUUGGGAUAACUUCAGGAAACUGGGGCUAAUACCGGAUAGGAGCUCCUGCUGCAUGGUGGGGGGUUGGAAAUUUCCGGCGGUUGGGGAUGGACUGGCGGCUUAUCAGCUUGUUGGUGGGGUAGUGGCUUACCAAGGCUUUGACGGGUAGCCGGCCUGGGGGGUUGGCCGGCCAAGUUGGGACUGAGAUACGGCCCAGACUCCUACGGGAGGCAGCAGUGGGGAAUAUUGCACAAUGGGCGGAAGGCUGAUGCAGCAACGCCGCGUGCGGGAUGACGGCCUUCGGGUUGUAAACCGCUUUCGCCUGUGACGAAGCGUGAGUGACGGUAAUGGAUAGAGAAGCACCGGCUAACUACGUG